UACGAGAGGCCCAAACGUUAUUCGGAAUUACUGGGCUUAAAGAGUUCGUAGGCGGCAUUGCAAGUAGGGUGUGAAAGCCCUCGGCUCAACCGAGGAAUUGCGCUCUAAACUGCAGUGCUUGAGGAACCUAGAGGUGAGCAGAACAGAUGGUGGAGCGGUGAAAUGCGUUGAUAUCAUCUGGAAUACCGGAGGCGAAGGCGGCUCACUGGGAGUUUUCUGACGCUGAGGAACGAAAGCCAGGGGAGCGAACGGG
rnacentral:rRNA from 1 species